GGGCUUGUAGCUCAAUCUGGUAGAGCGCCCGCUUUGCAAGCGGGAGGUUAGGUGUUCGAAUCACUUCAAGUCCA
rnacentral:tRNA from 1 species